AAUCUCAUGGCGUAAUAGAUAUUGUACUUGACUUUCAAUCAAUGUAUUAUAGGUUUGAAACCAAUUGGGAAUG
rfam:Picea glauca, whole genome shotgun sequence.